rnacentral:rRNA from 1 species
GCCCUUGAGUUUGAUCCUGGCUCAGGACGAACGCUGGCGGCGCGCCUAACACAUGCAAGUCGAACGAGCGAGAGAGAGCUUGCUUUCUCAAGCGAGUGGCGAACGGGUGAGUAACGCGUGAGGAACCUGCCUCAAAGAGGGGGACAACAGUUGGAAACGACUGCUAAUACCGCAUAAGCCCACGGCUCGGCAUCGAGCAGAGGGAAAAGGAGCAAUCCGCUUUGAGAUGGCCUCGCGUCCGAUUAGCUAGUUGGUGAGGUAACGGCCCACCAAGGCAACGAUCGGUAGCCGGACUGAGAGGUUGAACGGCCACAUUGGGACUGAGACACGGCCCAGACUCCUACGGGAGGCAGCAGUGGGGAAUAUUGCACAAUGGGGGAAACCCUGAUGCAGCGACGCCGCGUGGAGGAAGAAGGUCUUCGGAUUGUAAACUCCUGUUGUUGGGGAAGAUAAUGACGGUACCCAACAAGGAAGUGACGGCUAACUACGUGCCAGCAGCCGCGGUAAAACGUAGGUCACAAACGUUGUCCGGAAUUACUGGGUGUAAAGGGAGCGCAGGCGGGAAGACAAGUUGGAAGUGAAAUCUAUGGGCUCAACCCAUAAACUGCUUUCAAAACUGUUUUUCUUGAGUAGUGCAGAGGUAGGCGGAAUUCCCGGUGUAGCGGUGGAAUGCGUAGAUAUCGGGAGGAACACCAGUGGCGAAGGCGGCCUACUGGGCACCAACUGACGCUGAGGCUCGAAAGUGUGGGUAGCAAACAGGAUUAGAUACCCUGGUAGUCCACACCGUAAACGAUGAUUACUAGGUGUUGGAGGAUUGACCCCUUCAGUGCCGCAGUUAACACAAUAAGUAAUCCACCUGGGGAGUACGACCGCAAGGUUGAAACUCAAAGGAAUUGACGGGGGCCCGCACAAGCAGUGGAGUAUGUGGUUUAAUUCGACGCAACGCGAAGAACCUUACCAAGUCUUGACAUCCCUUGACAGGCAUAGAGAUAUGUAAUCUUUUCGGAGCAAGGAGACAGGUGGUGCAUGGUUGUCGUCAGCUCGUGUCGUGAGAUGUUGGGUUAAGUCCCGCAACGAGCGCAACCCUUAUGGUCAGUUACUACGCAAGAGGACUCUGGCCAGACUGCCGUUGACAAAACGGAGGAAGGUGGGGAUGACGUCAAAUCAUCAUGCCCUUUAUGACUUGGGCUACACACGUACUACAAUGGCGUUAAACAAAGAGAAGCAAGACCGCGAGGUGGAGCAAAACUCAGAAACAACGUCCCAGUUCGGACUGCAGGCUGCAACUCGCCUGCACGAAGUCGGAAUUGCUAGUAAUCGUGGAUCAGCAUGCCACGGUGAAUACGUUCCCGGGCCUUGCACUCACCGCCCGUCA